rnacentral:rRNA from 1 species
UACAGAGAGUGCGAACGUUGUUCGGAAUUACUGGGCUUAAAGCGCACGUAGGCGGCGCCGCAAGUGUUGGGUGAAAUCCCACGGCUUACCCGUGGAACUGCCUGGCAGACUGCGGUGCUAGAGGAUGGUAGGGGAGAGCGGAACUCCUGGUGGAGCGGUGAAAUGCGUAGAUAUCAGGAGGAACACCGGUGGCGAAGGCAGCCUCCUGGGAAGUGUCUGACGCUCAUGUGCGAAAGCUAGGGGAGCGAACGGG